rnacentral:rRNA from 1 species
CCUACGGGUGGCUGCAGUGGGGAAUAUUGGACAAUGGGCGAAAGCCUGAUCCAGCCAUGCCGCGUGUGUGAAGAAGGCCUUCGGGUUGUAAAGCACUUUCAGUGGGGAAGAAAGCCUUGGGGCUAAUACCCUCGAGGAAGGACAUCACCCACAGAAGAAGCACCGGCUAACUCCGUGCCAGCAGCCGCGGUAAUACGGAGGGUGCGAGCGUUAAUCGGAAUUACUGGGCGUAAAGCGCGCGUAGGCGGUCUGAUAAGCCGGUUGUGAAAGCCCCGGGCUCAACCUGGGAACGGCAUCCGGAACUGUCAGGCUAGAGGGCAGGAGAGGAAGGUAGAAUUCCCGGUGUAGCGGUGAAAUGCGUAGAGAUCGGGAGGAAUACCAGUGGCGAAGGCGGCCUUCUGGACUGACACUGACGCUGAGGUGCGAAAGCGUGGGUAGCAAACAGGAUUAGAUACCCGAGUAGUC